rnacentral:rRNA from 1 species
AACGAACGCUGGCGGCAUGCCUAACACAUGCCAGUCGAACGAGACCUUCGGGGCUAGUGGCGCACGGGUGCGUAACGCGUGGGAACCUGCCCUUAGGUUCGGAAUAACUCCCCGAAAGGGGUGCUUAUACCGGAUAAUGUCUUAGCACCAAUGAUUUAUCGCCUUUGGAUGGGCCCGCGUUGGAUUAGCUAGUUGGUAGGGUAAAAGCCUACCCAGGCGACGAUCCGUAGCUGGUCUGAGAGGAGGAUCAGCCACACUGGGACUGGGACACGGCCCAGACUCCUACGGGAGGCAGCAGUGGGGAAUAUUGGACAAGGGGCGAAAUGCUGAUCCAGCAAGGCCGCGUGAGUGAUGAGGGCCUUAGGGUUGUAAAGCGCUUUUACCCGGGAUGAUAAUGACAGUACCGGGAGAAUAAGCACCGGCUAACUCCGUG